rnacentral:lncRNA from 1 species
AUGUGGGUCAUCUGGCUCUGGAGCUCAUGUUGUAAACUGCAGUGCUUGCCUGCCUCUCUCAGGACACCAGAAGUCCCACUCUUGAUGAGCCUGGCUGAUGGGUCCCGGAUCUUCACUGGAACUUCCCAGGCACCACCACAACCAUUUCGGGCUAGAAGGGGAACGUCCCAUCACUUAGCCGUACUUGAUACAACUGUCCCCACUGUUGUCACUGGCAACUGGAUCAGCCUCUUCCUGCUGAUGGAGCGUCAUUAUCUGGCCCUGCUGCCAUGGAGACCCAAAGGAAUCAGGUGUGUUUUUCGCCUGCAUCACUCCCGCCUGGGGUGCGACAAGGACUCUUCUGCACGUCAUGCGUGGUGGACCUGUGGCGGGCUGCGGCCAGGCUCUUCCUGCGGGUGAAACCUAAUCAACUCAUCGGCAGCAGAUAAUAUCAAGACCUCUGUUUGAUACAUUACUAGUGACAGGCAUGCUUCCACCAUUAAUAACACGAUGCCCUUUGACAAUUAGGUUGUUUGGGGGGAAGAAAACCUUCCAGUCACCAGACUCAGCAUGAGAGGGCUCUUGUUCACACAAACACGACCUCACGUCUCUGCCUAGCACCACGGACUGUUUUGUUCUCCAAGGCCAUCUGCGUGCCCAUUCUCUGAUCUAGAUUUCCUUCAUAACAACUUUCUCGUUUGUAUGCCCUCGCAGCAAGCACUGUUUCCUGUUUCUAAACUUGUAGACAAGCAUCCAUACAGCUCACAGUUGUCAACGUUAACUAGAUAACAGUGGCGCCUUCUUGCUGCUUUUAUAUCUUUAACUUAGGUGAAGAGGACCCCGGAAGUCAAGUUUUUGAUUUGGAAGGAUGGGGUAUUCUUAAUUAAUGGCCCUACAUUUUCACGGGACUCAUCAUCUGAAAAAGAAAGUAAGUGGAAAAUCAUAGCCCCAUUUCUCAGGCUUGAAAAAUGUGUAGUGACAAGAGGACAAGAGAUGAAGGUUUUUAAAGCAAUAAAUGUCAUUUUGUUUCUCUUCUGAAUUUGUUG